GACCACUCCGGUGGCCUAGUGGUUAGAGCGUCCGUCUCAAAUGCGGGAGGUCGCAGGUUCGAACCCCGGCCGAGUCA